rnacentral:rRNA from 1 species
GAUGAACGCUAGCGACAGGCCUAACACAUGCAAGUCGAGGGGCAGCAUAAAGGUAGCAAUACUUUGGUGGCGACCGGCGCACGGGUGAGUAACACGUAUGCAACCUACCUGUAAGAGGGGAAUAACCCGGAGAAAUUCGGACUAAUACCGCAUAAUACCACGAAGCUGCAUGGCUUUGUGUUUAAACAUUUAUGGCUUACAGAUGGGCAUGCGUAUGAUUAGAUAGUUGGUAGGGUAACGGCCUACCAAGUCAACGAUCAUUAGGGGUUCUGAGAGGAAGGUCCCCCACACUGGUACUGAGACACGGACCAGACUCCUACGGGAGGCAGCAGUGAGGAAUAUUGGUCAAUGGGCGAGAGCCUGAACCAGCCAAGUCGCGUGAAGGAAGAAGGUUCUAUGGAUUGUAAAACUUCUUUUGUAAGGGAAUAAAAAGAGUUACGUGUAACUUAUUGUAUGUACUUUACGAAUAAGGAUCGGCUAACUCCGUG